AGGAGAAAGUGAUGGAGUCGGGAAGGAAGUCCUGUGCGAGGCAGCCAACGGCCACGCUGCUCGUAUCCGACGGGGAAUUCUCACAGGAGACGAGGGGGAAAAGGGUUGGGGCGGAUGCACUCCUGAGGAGACGGUGACCAGGGUUCCCUGGCCCCAGGGGUCGAACCAGUUGUCACAUUGUGACAACAAUGCCACACUGUGUCUCUCGCACAGUAAUACACGGCCGUGUCGUCAGAUCUCAGCCUGCUCAGCUCCAUGUAGGCUGUGCUGAUGGACGUGUCCCUGGUCAUGGUGACCCAGCCCUGAAACUUCUGUGCAUAGUUUGUGCCACCACUGUUAGGGUUGAUCCAUCCCAUCCACUCAAGCCCUUGUCCAGGGGCCUGUCGCACCCAGUGCAUAUAGUAGCCGGUGAAGGUGUAUCCAGAAGCCUUGCAGGAGACCUUCACUGAGGCCCCAGGCUUCUUCACCUCAGCCCCAGACUGCAC
rnacentral:lncRNA from 1 species